CUUCCCUUCAUCUGACAUAUCAGGUCUUCUAGGAGAAUCCACAUAUGGGCCACAAUGUGGAGGUGGGAGUGGCCAUGCUGCGCACAGGGGCUGACUCAGAGCCUAGAGGAUGAAGCUGGAUCAGGAAUGUGGUAAAACGCUACUCAAAGGGUGCUUAGGAGCCAUUGAAAGUUCUGAAAGGACGGGAGAAUGAGAAUCUGUUCUUAAGAGACGACCACUCUGAGUAACUCGGCUGAAUGCAUCCUAUCCAUUUAUCAAUAACUCUAGUUCGCUUCCUUGGAAUGGAGAAGUGUCAGCAGUGUUGAUUAACCAGGAUCACAGACCCAUUUUAAUAACAUGACAAAAAGUGCAGACCUUUUACUCACCAGAAAAAUGUACCCACAACCAAAUUUUGAACAUAAUGUAUUAAGGUUUAUG
rnacentral:lncRNA from 1 species